rnacentral:misc_RNA from 1 species
CAAAUAGUCACAAUCACUAAUCGAAUUACAACGUUUAACAAAAUAGAACUCACAACCUUAACAAUGAAGAUCUUCUAAAGCUUACAGAACCGAGAAUCCCGAAGCUGACAGUGCUUCUUCGCCUUCGAAUACAGGUCUUGAACGGAGAAGAGGGAUGAGAGAGUCGAGGUUGGGGAGUCCUUAGCAGGACUGGGAUCCCAACAUGUUUUUACCAACCCCAUACUUCUCUAUUUAUAGCCUCUGUUGGCGUCUGAUGCACGCAACUCAUACUUGGCCGCUAAGGUACUUGUCCGCCAAGGAAGCAAUCCCGCGCGUCCAUUUCCAUCAACGGUUCGGAUCUAACUUUAGUUGCUUUUCUUUGUUCUGGAACAGAGAUCCUUGUAUCCUCGUUCGGGAUCCUGGCUUCUUCCGUCUUUGUUCUGCAUCUAGGAUCCUUGCAUAGCCGUAUUUACCUCGCACAAAUCCACGGAGAUGCAUUAGACGAUUUUUAUAAGGAUUAAGUUUGGCAAAAACUCAACAUUUUGUG